CGAAGGGGGCAAGCGUUGUUCGGAAUUACUGGGCGUAAAGGGCGCGUAGGCGGCUUAUCAAGUCAGGCGUGAAAUUCCCGGGCUCAACCUGGGGGCUGCGUUUGAUACUGAUGAGCUUGAAUGCGGGAGAGGAUGGUGGAAUUCCCAGUGUAGAGGUGAAAUUCGUAGAUAUUGGGAAGAACACCGGUGGCGAAGGCGGCCAUCUGGCCCGUGAUUGACGCUGAGGCGCGAAAGCGUGGGGAGCGAACAGGAUUAGAUACCCUGGUAGUCCACGCCGUAAACGUUGGGCGCCAGGUGUGGGACCCUAUCCACGGGUUCCGUGCCGCAGCUAACGCAUUAAGCGCCCCGCCUGGGGGAGUACGGCCGCAAGGCUA
rnacentral:rRNA from 1 species